rnacentral:rRNA from 1 species
GUCUACGGCCAUAACACCCUGAACAUGCCUGAUCUCAUCUGAUCUCAGAAGCUAAGCACAGUUGGGAACUGGUUAGUAUUUGGAUGGGAGAAUACCUGGGAACACCAGGUGCUGUAGGCU